rnacentral:misc_RNA from 1 species
GAUGAAGAACGUAGCGAAAUGCGAUAAGUAAUGCGAAUUGCAGAAUUCCAGUGAGUCAUCGAAUCUUUGAACGCACAUUGCGCCCUUUGGUAUUCCGAAGGGCAUGCCUGUUCGAGCGUCAUUAUCACCUCUCAAGCCCUCGGCUUGGUGUUGGACGGUUUGGUGGAGGCCCCCUCGGGGGCUCCUGCCCCUCCCAAAGACAAUGACGGCGGCCUCGUUGGACCCCCGGUACACUGAGUUCUUCACGGGACACGUAUCGGACACAUGGGUUUACGGGACACGGUCUGCCUCCCCUCAGGGAGAAUCUUUCUAAGGUUGACCUCGGAUCAGGUAGGGAUACCCGCUGAACUUAAGCAUAUCAAUAAGCGGAGGA